UNUGACUUGAGUGCAGAAGGGGAGAGUGGAAUUCCAUGUGUAGCGGUGAAAUGCGUAGAUAUAUGGAGGAACACCAGUGGCGAAAGCGGCUCUCUGGUCUGUCACUGACGCUGAGGCUCGAAAGCGUGGGUAGCGAACAGGAUUAGAUACCCUGGUAGUNCACGCCGUAAACGAUGAGUGCUAGGUGUUAGGCCCUUUCCGGGGCUUAGUGCCGGAGCUAACGCAAUAAGCACUCCGCCUGGGGAGUACGACCGCAAGGUUGAAACUCAAAGGAAUUGACGGGGGCCCGCACAAGCGGUGGAGCAUGUGGUUUAAUUCGAAGCAACGCGAAGAACCUUACCAGGUCUUGACAUCCCGAUGCUAUUCUUAGAGAUAGGAAGUUACUUCGGUACAUCGGAGACAGGUGGUGCAUGGUUGUCGUCAGCUCGUGUCGUGAGAUGUUGGGUUAAGUCCCGCAACGAGCGCAACCCUUAUUGUUAGUUGCCAUCAUUAAGUUGGGCACUCUAGCGAGACUGCCGGUAAUAAACCGGAGGAAGGUGGGGAUGACGUCAAAUCAUCAUGCCCCUUAUGACCUGGGCUACACGCGUGCUACAAUGGUCGGUACAACGAGUUGCGAGCCGGUGACGGCAAGCUAAUCUCUGAAAGCCGAUCUCAGUUCGGAUUGGAGGCUGCAACUCGCCUCCAUGAAGUCGGAAUCGCUAGUAAUCGCGGAUCAGCACGCCGCGGUGAAUACGUUCCCGGGCCUUGUACACACCGCCCGUCACACCACGAGAGUUUGUAACACCCGAAGUCGGUGAGGUAACCUUUUAGGGGC
rnacentral:rRNA from 1 species